rfam:Strongylocentrotus purpuratus Contig66702_fixed, whole genome shotgun sequence.
CCAACAGUCCUUUUCAGGACUACACACCCUCAGUGAAGAUUACCA